UUUUGUUUCGGUACGAUUUCGGUUUGAUACAUAAUGUAUCACGCUGUGCUAAUAACACUAUUAAGACUUAAGAACCUAAGCAAGCAGAAACAAAAAUAGAAUACCUGCUUCAGAACUCAAUAAAAAGUUAUCAUCAACUACAAUUGUUGUUUACAUAUAAGUGGCACCUAGCCAUCCAAAGAUGAAAAUGUCAAAUAUGCUCAUAACUACACAUAGUAUAUGCUAAAGCCUUCCUGCAUCAGAGCUGCACUCCACAAAUUAUCAGCCUAGCUUUGGCCUAAUUCGAUUCCUGGACAAGGAUUAAGCCUCAAACCAGAAACUAAGUUAGCGUAAAAAACCAUUCAAAAAGGGAAUCCAGUAAGCAAAGUUGAGUAUUCUAGUUAUUCAUAAACUUGAAUUGUUCUCUAUGUACAACCUUAUUGUACCGCCUUUUUGCUUGAUCCUUGCAAUGUUUUUUGAUAAUUCUCCCAUUAAUUUCUUAUGUUAUAUCUUUACCUUGAAUAUGACGAAGUAAUUCGGAAAUAUUCUAGAGGCCAAAAGCCCAAAACUUAGAAAUCAUAAUAUGAUGAACUAUAACAUAUUAUUCUCAAUUAACAGCCUUUUGUACCCAAAAAAGAAGCUAUUGGUUACAUAAUACAAACUGAAUAUUAAAGAAUGAAGAAGUUGUGAAUAUGUUGAGAUCAAGCACUAUCAAAAGGAUAUGGGAAGAUUAUUAUAGUGCACACCGCUAAGAAAUAUAGAAUCUUCAGCAAAUUUUAAUGGGUCAAAUUAAAAAAUAGAAGAAAAUUCCUUGUCCCUCACCCACCCAUCAAUAGGUACGUUGCCAAAAAAAGGAUUUACAGUAACUUAUAGUUAUAUAUAAGAUACUAAUUCCUAUUACUAUAAAUUGUUAAAAUACAAACUAAAUAUUAAAGAAUGAAAAAGUUGUGAACCUGUUAAAAAGUUGAACAUCAAAGAAUGAAGGUCAAAAAUGAGGAAACAAGCAGUCACACUUGAGAGUCGUCAGCAUCGAGGUCGUGAAGUCGCCGUGACGAUCUGUUCUUCACUCGCAACACUCGCAGUCACAGACGGCAUGUACUCUGUUCUUCACUUCUUUGUUUGAGAUUUGAGAAUUGAGAGAAACCUAAUUUUAACUUAGAAACAAGGGAAAG
rnacentral:lncRNA from 1 species